rnacentral:lncRNA from 1 species
CAGCUGCGGUGCGCCCCGCCGCCCGCCAGAGGCUCGGCUCGCGCGGCGCGGCCGCUGCGACUUCCUGGAGUUCUGCCUGCCGGGGGCGCGGGCGGGUGUGUGAGAGAGAAGGCGAAGGGAGCCGCGGGGUGGGAGAGGAGGGAGUCCCGGCGGGAGGGCGGGGGAGAGGCUGGCGGGAGGGGGGCUCCACGGAGCUCCAGCCAGGGCCGCGGUUCGCCUGCACGUCACGGCUACUCAAACCCAAGCACGUCCCGAAAGCGGUAUUUUCUGCGUCUGGGAGGUUUUUGCAUCCUCAGUUCCCACCGCUGGGGCUGGCGGCGACCAACUGUAAGAGAAACUCACUGGGAGGCGAGGCAGGGGGGUGCGGAGGAUGGGAAGGCGACUCUGAAGGGUGGGAAGUGAAUGCUGGACUUGAUCGUCUUUCUCUUUCUUUCAGCGCAGACCUGUCGCAGCCAGAGAGCUGUCAUUUCAGUACCGGGAUUCAGAAUUGAUCCAGUCCGCAGCGGAGGGGGCACAUCCCAGCUACCGAGCUGCUGAGUGUCUCUGGCUGGAACAAUAGUAUUUUUUUCUCUGCGAGGCUGCAAUUAACAUCUUAUUUGUUCUGGCUCCAUACAGGCUUUGUCAGGAUCGCGGUGCGGCGACCGACGUUGGGCUCUUGCAUUGCUUUGUGCUUGGCAAUGGAAUCAUGGUUUCGGGGUCUAAACUUUUGUUUCGUUUUGUAGUCUUAAUGUAUCUGAUUCUUUUUCAAGUUUCCCUAGUAACAGGUUUGGGGACGGGGUGGGAAGAAGCGAGAAAAGGGGUGAAGAGAAAAAACCAGAUUAUAUAGAAAGGAAAAAGGGAAAAGGGAUGUUUCCCCACCUUUUAAUCUAACUAUCUAUCUGUCUGUCUAUCUAUCAUCAUAGAUAGUCAUUUUGCCUCCUGGACAGUUGGCUGACGAAGUGUCUGAUAAACCAGCUUCAGAUACAUGCUACAAAAGGCUACUGAGCUGGCCUGAUGAUGAUCCUUCUGAGAUAUAUUUAUAGCAGAUGAUUUGUGGAUGAUAACUACGCCAAGCAAGACACUGUCUCCAGUAACCCCAGGCUCGUCUGACUUCCUCAGGGGAUUAUAAUAAAGAAUCACAAAAAGAACCCUAUAUGGACAGUCUGGUCUCUGGACACUAACAACAGCACAAUCCAAAGGCAAAGAAAGGAGGAACCACCUUGUUUCAUGUCUGCAAGCUGCUCCAUAUGAAAGCAUUGCUGACAUGUUGACCCAACAGCAAAAAGAGAGCAGCAGUUUACACACCCUCAGCUCUCUGUCCUUUCCUUUCUAUUGAUGUUGGUCCACUUUUAUGACUGAAUACAUAUUAAAAUCAC